CAGAUCGAAGCUGUGAAGCUCUGUCCUCAGUUCUCAGCUCCCAGUCCUCUAGUCUGAGAGAGCUGGACCUGAGUAACAACAACCUGCAGGAUUCAGGAGUGAAACUGCUGUCUGCUGGACUGGAGAUUCCACACUGUACACUGGUAACCCUGAGGCUGUCAGGCUGUCUGAUAACAGAGGAAGGCUUGUACUUCUAACCCCUCCCAUCUGAGAGAGCUGGACCUGAGCUACAAUCAUCCAGGAGACUCAGGAGUGAAGCUGCUGUCUGCUGGACUGGAGGAUCCACACCGGAGACUGGACACUCUCAGGUCCCAGGCAUGCGACCAUACGAACAAUUAAUCUGAUCAAAACGUUAUGCUGUUGCUGCAGUGACUCCUCGCAGCAGAACACUUCUUCACAUCCCCACAGCUUUAGCAAGACAAACAGUUAACAACAACAACAACAUGACAACAUCCCCAAGUUCCUCAUGCUGCUGCACAAGAUCAGCUUUUAACAGGUUAACGUGCAAAAUAACUAGAAUGCCACAUAUUUAGGUGAACUCAGCAUAUCAGUUACCAACCCAAUCAACAGCACGACUCCGGCCACAGGAGCUCUCGGGUCCUCAGCACAAACAAGCCAGGAGCAGAUGCACACAGAGCAACCAAACUGUCAGCCCGCCAUGACAGAAGAACACAAAGACGGCGCUAGCCUGCGGACCAGAGGCACAACAACUAAUAAAACAGGACUUCUAAAACUUACUAGAGCAACUUACAGCUCAUCUAAAAUGCAUGAAAACAUUCUUCCAUCACUUAUUAUGUGUUUUCAUCGUGCUUAUACAUGACACUAACCGGAUAAAAGGUGGAACGAGUAGACAGGACAACGUUAGGCUGUUGCUGCAGUGACUCCUCGGGCCAACAAGAGCGUAAAGCAGCUCCGUCAGCUGCCGACGUCCUGCUGCCGCCUACUGACGUUCCUGGGUAUUGCACCCAAAAUAACAAGUCCACAAAGACUGAAUAAGAGAAGCUUUUUAAAACUGACAAGAAAACAUCAGCAAGAGCUGGAAUACACAUGAAAAAUGUGACCAUAUGUUUUAUGUGCAACAUUUGUGGACAUCCUCAAUAAACAGA